ensembl:lncRNA novel transcript
AAUGACCCAACAGAAAAGCCAGCACUGAAAAUGAAGACAAAGACGCAAAGGCCAAUAAAUAUUCACAAAACGUCACUUCACUAACAUUUCCAGUUCCAGAUGACAGGAGGCCCUCAGGGACUCAGGAGGCAGGAGCACGGGGAGGUGACAGCGCCAGCAGCAGGAGGGCAGGCCUCUGCCUUGGCACGAGCGGGGCCACAGCUCCUGGCGGGCUGCGGGGGCCGGGAAGCCCGAGCAGCCUGGCGCUCCUGGCCCCUGCACACGCUUCCCUCCCUCCACCCCGUUCCUCCCUCUCUCUGUGCCUUGGGCCCCGUGGGAUGCGCUCACAUCCAGACUCACCAGGCCCGAGACGUUGGGAGAAUGGAGAAGCGCUUGCGAGCCAAAAGUCCUCCAGGAGCACCUGAAGGAAGCUUCGCCUGCACCUGGGACACCCUUCCCUGAUGCUGGCCUCAAGGCAGGCGCGCCGCACACGCUUCCGGUCCAUGACGACCACAGCUCAGAAGAGCACGCGAACCCAGCCUCCACAAAGAGAAAAUGGCGGAAUGGGCCUUCGCCUCCCUUUUAUAACGGCUGUACUCAACCGCUGUAUCUUGGAAGCUUUGUUUUGAUUGGGUGAGAAGGAACUUUUUUCGACAACUCUUAUUGGAUAAUAGUCUCCUGCUCUGACUGGAUAAUCUUAACUAAUCAGAGUUGGAGACUUAUCCAAUCUGUGUUGUAGUACAGAGUCUGCUCUCAUCCUAUCAGAAAGAGGCUUCCAGGGUAUGUCAUUUGAAUACAGACAUUAUAAAAGGGAGGCAAAGAUCUGCACCUGCCGUGGAGGUUGGGCUCAUGUGCUCCUCUGCAUUGGAGUUAGCCAAGGAGCGUGUGCAGAACACUUGCCUCAUAGGCCAGCCGUAGAGAAGGAUGUCCCAGGUGCAGGCGAAGUUUUGUUCAUGUGUUCCUGGAGGAUUUUUCCCGUGGCAAGCGCUUCUCCAUCCUCCAGCAUCUCAGGCCUGGCUGGCCACUCAGUAUUCCUUGUCCCUGGCCUCGCAGCCCACCCGGGAAGCCACAGUGACCAGCCACCAGGUGUGCCAUCACGGAGGAAGUCCAGGUUGGAGAGGUGGUCUCCUUCUGUGAGCAGGUCCACCUCUCCCCCCACUGAGGCCCCUUUCUGCCUGUGACAGCCCCACCUCAAGGGCCAUGGCACAGCCAUCAGCUCCAGCUGCCAGCAUGCUACUGCCAUGCCCCGAGUGUCCAUCUGGGCCCCGGUUCAUGACCUGUUGUCUUUCUGUAUCUACUUUCUGCAGCCCCUCACUGAGGAGGCCUCCUGGGUUUGUCCAGUGCCUGCUAUUAAAGCUUUGCUCCAAGUUCAA